rnacentral:rRNA from 1 species
UGGUGGAGUGAUUUGUCUGCUUAAUUGCGAUAACGAACGAGACCUUAACCUGCUAAAUAGCCAGGCGAGCUUUGGCUCGCCGCCGGCUUCUUAGAGGGACUAUCGGCUCAAGCCGAUGGAAGUUUGAGGCAAUAACA